CCAGAUCCUUUAACCUACUAGGGAUAAGGAAAUUCUAGAAUAAAAAAGGGCCUCAAAGGGCAAUUUGUCCUGAAGAAAACAAAACAAAGAGAACAAAAGAAAGAGGGCUCAUCUCUCUGAAGGCCUAUGACAGAUCUGAUGAAAGACUAAAGAUAUGGCUAUGAAAGAUUCUGUCUGUUUAAAAAAAAUUAAAGUGAUCACUAUCUCUUGGGAAAACACUAAAUUUUACAAAAGGAAAUAUAUAAUUAUACACACAACUUGGUUCUGUAAUAAGUAGCACUUGCAGAAUCCAAAUUACAUAAAAAUUAACUAAAAUUUAUGAUAUGAUUUUUGAAAGAGGGAGAGAAGGGUAGAGGUUUAAGAGAACCACAUCCUCAUCUUCUAUAACAGAAAGUCAUUAGACAAUGUCAAGUUAACCAAGCGGUAAUAUUAACAUUUAUGUGGGAAUAUGGUGAAACAUCUCAGAGUUGACAGUGGUUGUCUCUAAGGAUAAAAGGACACUGUUAUUACUCUUUUUUUUUGGCAACACCCACAGCAUCUGGAAGUUCCUGGGCCUACUAUUUCUUUAUGAACUUUCAAAUAGUAUCAUUUUGACUUUAAGAAAAACAUAAAUUACACCCACCUCACCCCACAUAAAAACCUGGCCCAAAGCCUUUUAACAAAUGUAUUUAUUAUCUCCUAUGGUUAGGAGUCAAUCCAAAUUUUCUACUUCAGUCUAGGUUGAUUUUUGUUUCUUUUCUUUUCAUCUGCACCUACAGCAUGUGUAAGUUCCUGGGCCAUGGCGCAAACCUGCACCACAGCAGUGACAACUUAACUGCUAGGCCACCAGGGAGCUCCAGAUUUCUAUUUUCUUCCCUGCUUCCUUGUGUCUUCCCAUCUGACCCAACUAGCUUAGCAUUAGGCACUUCCAUUCUCUCCCUUAGCUCAUCUCUACUGGCCUCCGUGACUCUGUUCUCCCCUGGUUUUUCUACCAUUCUGGGUGUCCUUUUCUCUCCUUCUCUGCCUCUGUUUGCAUCUCCCAUCUCUCAAACAUUAAAAUUCAUUCCCCAAGACUCACUCCCCACUCCUUCAAUCUUUUCUAUUAUCUCUCCCAAUUUCUCACCCACCCUUAUGAUUUAAGCCUGUACCUCUUUGCAGUUGGCCCACACAUCAACUCCAGCUCUAACCUCUUUGCUCAGUUUCAACUAAACAUUUCCACAGACAACUGGACUCUGCUCCUGAAUGUCCUACCACCCCCUCACUCAAAAAUCAGGCCUAGCCUCCUGAGACCCUAUUCCUGUCCAUGAUUCUUGGUCGAAACCUUGGCUUCUCCUUUUUUCUUCCCCUAGCCAGUUACUAAGUACUACUAAGUUCUUAACAAUGUUCAUUCCUUUCUUUCCAAAGGGGUUUGUCUUCAUUAUCUCGCACUUAAAAUAUCACAGUAGUCUCCCAAGCUCCUUGAAAUCUGCCCAUGUCUUAUUCACCUUUUUAGCUCUCACACCUACCUCAGGUCCUAUUGCCUAAUAAGUUGUCCGCCAACUCUAAAUACUGUCUCUGCCUCUAAUCUGUACUGCCACCAGACAUUUUUCUAAAAUGCUCAUUUGUACAUGUCACACACCAUUCAGUGUUUUAAUGGCUUUUUACUAUCUAUGUAACAAAAUCUGAAUUAGUUUAGCCUGGCACUGGAGGUUCUCUAUAGUUUCAUUCUACUACUUAUGUAAAUAUUCUCUUCCUGUUAAUCUCACUAAUGAAAACUCCUCUUUCAUUCAUCACAACACACUCACUGUGCAUCCCAGGCACAGUGCUAAGCCUAGGAGAAUAGAACGGGAGUCCAACCGUCUUUGCACCUCAUAAUCCAGCAUUCAUGUUCUCCUAAUACACUCUAAUCUACUUGUGAUGGUUCUCCCUAAAACGGAAAACCUUUCUCAUCCUCUCAGUGUGUUUAAGUAUAAGAGCCAGCAAAUAUGGAUGCUCACCAAAUGUGGGAAUAAAGGUUCCUUUGGGAAAGUGAAACUAAUAAGGCUAGACAGGUAACAGAUAAUAUCAAUAAACGGUAAGUACUAUUUACUGAGCAUUUACUGUGUGCCAGGCAUUGUGCUAAGUGACAUCUUGAUUAUUUCAUUCAAUCUUCAUGGUCUUUUGAGGUAGGUACUAUUCUUGCGACAAAUCACUCUCAAAGGUAAUUUAUAAGUUUGCUAAGCUAGUAAAUAGUGGAUGAAAAUUCAGAUCUAUUACAAAAUCCAAGAUUUUAACUUAGGCGAAACAGCUUGACCCACUGCAGAAGAUGGUUUUUAAAUGACAUGUGGGGACACCCAAGUCCAAGGUAACUAAGCUAUUUUAGCUGUCUCCCCAGCAAGACUUUAGAGUUCGUUCAAGCAGGCCUAUUUGCAUCCCCACUGUGACACACAGAUUCUAUAUUUACUGCUGCUUAGUACGUCAUCACCACCACCCACAAAUGUUAAAAAAUACUUAUGUGGGCAGUGGAUUACACUGAGAGGCAUCCUUGGAGAUCAUAAAAAGAUGUCCUCAGAGGAUGCAAAAGAGCGAUUAAUGACUUCCAAAACCCUUCCCUCAUCCAUCAAUUCUCUCCUGGACCAGAGACAGAGAACUACACAGUAACAGGAUUAAAACAAACGCCCUGAGUUUGGCACAGUAAAGAUGCUCUCAGUUCAGGCUUCCUACAAGGCCUGGAUGAUGCUGGUCACCAGCCUGAUGGCCCUUCAAGGUAUGUUCAGAAGAAUCUUAAGCACCCCCCAAAAUGAGGGUGCUAUAUAUACCUUGACAUCUUGGUUAUUCUCCAGAGAGUGGAAAGGAAGCCGAGAGUGGGGCAGGGAAAUGCUCCUCAGGCCCCGGCUGCCCACAGGAAAACAUCACACCAGUAUGAAGGCAAAACUGGUCCAAAGGGACUCAAGACUUCACACUAACUAGGGGAAGAUACAUGAAUCAGACUUCCCAUUGGUAGGAGGUCACACCUACUGGGAAAGAAAGCCUGUGGGAGAGGCAAGCAAAGACAAAUGCCUCUACUUACUGGAUGAACAGAGGGGUACAAGUUGAGGCAACAAAUGUUUGGCUAUACUGUGAAGAUGAGCAAGGCAAGAAACAGACUUGGUCUGGAGGUGGGUUUUAAACACUGCAUCUCUUCUGGAAAGGCUGAUGGCUGGAUUGAGUAUAUUAAACAGUUGCAGCUGAGUCCUCUGAGCACCAUUUAUGAGUAUGAUCAGAGUUUUCCCUAUCAGAUAAAAAUACUGGAACUUGCAAUGACCUGCCAUCAGGUUUGAAUAAUCAGUAACUGAUGCAGGUUUUUGCCUCUCUUUGGUAUUCUUAAUCCCAAGCCCUACUUAGGGUUUCCUCAAAUCAAUAACUACCACUGUUUGAAAUACCACCAGAUGUAAGCCCUAUAAACGCAGGAACUUUGUCUUGUUUACCCCCCCGCCCCCCCCCAAAAGUGUCAGGCUCACAGGAGGCUCUUAAUAAAUUUGUUUAAAGAAUUUUUGAUCCUGCUGUAUAGCACAGGGAACUAUAUCUAGUCACUUGUGAUGGAACAUGAUGGAGGAUAAUUUGAGAAAAAGUAUAUACAUAUAUGUGUGUGUGUGUGUAUAUAUAUAUAUAUGACUGGGUCGCUCUGCUGUACAGUAAACCAACUAUAAUGUAAAAAUAUAUAUAUAUAUAAAAGAAUUUAUAUGAUGGGCUAGACUUUACAUAUGAUGAUUCUAACCUCAUACAAUCCAGGUAAACAUUCCCUGAUUACUCACUAGUAAACAAGUAUAAAGAGGUUAAAUGUUGCCCCAGUGCACAGGAAUUAAUUAAUACAGGACCUGCUCACUCUAAAAUCUGUGCUCUGGUGAUUACCUACUGCCUGCUAAGCAUCUUCUCUCUCAACUCCUUCACCAUUCUCCCCAUUCUCCCUUUUCCAGAAAUAAGACCACCUAACACUCUCUUAUUCCAGCCCCUUAAUAGCAGACUAUCAAAAGAAAACAGACCUUGUCUGUGAUCCUUGGCAAGGACUUGCCAAAUGUGUUAUACUGAAGUGGUAGGGUUCAGUACAAUAAACGCACACACAUUUUCUCAGGCCCAAAGUUAUCAUGCUCACAUGUGACAAAAAGCAUGAGGGACUUUCCUGGAUCUUUGUGCCUCCCUUGGCUCAUGAAACUAAUUUCAACAAGUAUUCCUAUCCUAUCACCAUGCCAGUCAUUCAGUGCCAUACAUGGAAAACCUACCUUGAACUUUUGAGUGCCAUCUAUUUCUUGAUUGUCCUACCUUCCAUCACGGAGAAAUCAAAGGUUGGCUUCUUCCCCACUUCCACCAGGAUCAGGUAGAUUUCACUGCAACUUUAGCAGUAAGACACAACACAUGCAAUACCUUCCCUUCUUUCCUUUUCCUUUCUUAUCUAGUCAUAAGGGUCUAUCAAUCACACAUCUCAGGAUGAAUUACAUCAGGUAUUUUGUGACUAUUCUAAGUUUUCCUUUUUCUUUCUACAGCUUUGUAAGCCUUGUGCCAGAGGAAACUUUAAAAAAGUCACAGCAAGAUAAAUCUGAUUCUCUUUAGCUUGGUAUCUUUCACAUUACAAUAUGCAGAGAGAAAGAAAUAAUAGGACAAAGGAGAAGAGAUGCUAAGUAUGCCAAGAAUCUGGGGGAUAUAAGAUGGGCAAAUGUCCUUUCCUCACUGCCAGAGCAAACCUGACUUUCUUCCUACCUCAGUCAUCAGUUGAAAAACAAAAAAACAAAAAACAGCUUUCACAAAAGCAGCUGGUAUACAAUUCUCACUCAAAUACUCGAUAAGCAUGUGUGUUGUGGUACCCCAGAAGAACUUGUCCUCCCUUCCCUCCAACACAGUAAAAUAAACAACCAAGUCAAACAAAAUGAGAACACCGAUUUUUCUUGGAAGAAAUUUUUAUUUGAUACUGUUUAGGGAAGAGAGAGGAAGCAAGCAAAGAUAGGCAGGCUAGGAGAAGAGCACCAGAUCCAGUAACUGACUUGGCAGAAAAUGAGGAAACGAAGAGACCUUGGUAUUCAAUAGCAUCCACAUAGCACUGCUGGAGGAAGAGGAAGAUUAGCGCAGACAGCUGCACCCCAGAUCCUGUCUAGCUGCUACUAAGUGCUUGUCAACCUCUUUGGUCAUUUUUCUCUCUUUUUAAAUAAAUGUCAAAGUGAUAACUGCAGCCUUUUCUCCCUAAACUCACAAAUCCUCUUAUCUCUCUCUUUGGACAUGUAACCUCUUGUCACAGUCAAGCAAGGAGGUGAAGGCAGGAUAUUCCUGAUAAGGGGAACUACAUGAAUAAAGGGAUGGGAACACAGCCAACUAAACAAGGACUAAAUGGCAAGCCAUUAGAAGGAAACAGACACCUUACCUGUGAUCCUUGGCCAGGACCUGCCAAAUGUGGGAGCUAAAGUUUGUGGGAGCAGAGAGAGAGAAGGCUGAAAGAGAUGGGUAAGACCCUUAUUAGUGAUGGUCUUGAACUUCAAGCUAGGGAUUCUGGAUUUUGUGUCUUAUGGAGGUAAAAAGACUAGACAUAGAGUCAAAAGACCUGGAUUCAGAUUCUGGCUCUGCAACACAUGUGUCUUUGGGCAAAUGAAGUUUUGAGGUGCUAUUUCCAUCUACUUAUCUGUACAAUAGGCUAUUUCCUAUUCUAUUUUCUUUUUCAUAGACACCUCUGAGAAUCAAAAGAGACUCUGGAUUUUAAACAGAGAACCACUCAGAUUCUGACCCUGAAGCCUCCAAAGCUUUAUCCACUUUAUUACAUUCACUUUAAUCUUUCUCUACCUGUUUUAUGUUAGUUUUGUAUUUUUAACUAACUAAAUUUUCAGCUCACAUGUCUGGAGAUGGCUUUUACUUUUUAUUAUUCAAAGACUCUUCUGAAACUACUCAAUAUUUUACAAUCACUGGAAGUUUCACAUACAAGUCAUGCCCAACUAUAGGCAAGGUUUUUUCAGAGUUCCCUUUGUGGCUCAGUGGUUAACAAACUUGACUAGGAUCCAUGAGGAUGUGGGUUUGACCUCUGGCCUUACUCAGUGGAUUGAGGAUCCGGCGUUGCCGUGAGCUGUGGUAUAGACUGGCAGCUGUAGCUCCAACUGGACCCCUAGCCUGGGAACUUCCAUAUGCUGUGGGUGUGGCCCUUAAAAAAAAAAAAAAGAAAGAAAGAAAAGAAAAGAUUUUGUCCAUUGUGCUAUGCUAAUUAUGGGCUACAUAAAAAAUGUGCAGAAAGGACAUAUGACUGCUGCCCAAGUUUAUCAAGACAUUCCAGAACAUUAGACUACUAGCUCCUACUUGAACUAAGCAGAAUAAACAAAGCAACAACAAGUCGAAGAUCUCACUUUUAAAGAAUUAAUUUUAUUUAUUCUGCUUAUCUCAAGACUUGGUUAAACAGAAAUUUGAAAUACUUGUAUCUUGGUUUUCAAGGUAUACUGAUAUCAGUGAUUUCAAAUAAGACUAUAAAUUUCUAUACAUGAGUAAGCAGUUUUCUGGACACACAUCUUAACCUCAAUCUAUGUGAGUGAUUCACAACCCAAGGAAUUUGAACCUCUGUAAGGCCAUGGAGUUAUUAUAAGAAAUCUGUAUAAGCAUUAUCUUUAAUCUGAAUUAAUAACAUUUAUCUUACAAAUACGUAUAUACUAUACUUCAACUGGAUAUAUAGAUCCUGGUGUGACUAAUAAAGACAAAUUGAUGUAAAAGCUUGUAGCAGCUUUUUGUUAUGUGUUUUUUCCAUCAAAAGAUACUAAAAAUACAACUAUAAUCUUGUUGGGAUGGAGUCUGCUGACUUUGGGAUCUUAAAAAUGGUACCGCUUAUUAGAAAAGGUAAAGGAUAAAAAGAAAGAAAAGGUUAAGAACCACAAGCCUAUAUUGCAUUUUUAUAGACAUAAGUGUUUCAGGUGAAAAAGGAAGGCAACACAUAGGCUCCAUUUCUGUGGAUACCAUCUAAGUAUAAUCUGGCAAAACACAAAGUUUAUAUGUAUAAAAUCUGAGAGUGAGUCCCUGUAAUCCUACUUUUCUGACAGGUCUGAGAUAUCAAAACCUCAUAAUGUCCUUUGGAUGAGAUACUUUGAUCCUGUUGUGAUCUUGAAAAAGAUCUCCAGUUGUACACAUUGUAUUCUACACAUUCUAUUUUCAACCCAGGGAGCAGCCCUGUGGUUCCCAGCCUAAGUGCUGAGAUACUGACAUUACUCUAAGUUACAACCUCCCCACACAGGAUAGGCACCUGUGAUAUGUUUACCCCACCAAAUCUUUCCCUAAGCUCCCUCACGUUUAACUUACGUUAAAAAAAUAAAAUAAAAUAAAAAAACCUAAACUUAUGUUAAAUUCAUUUGGGAACUCUCAGAGUACGCUCUCCUGCCACUCACCCCAAACUCCCAAAUCCCUACUGGUUUAUUCUCAUAAAUAGCACUCUCAUCUUCCCACCUCUCUACAGAGACAAAGAGGGUUCUUCCCUCAUAUUCAAAUAUCUAUUCACCAGCCCAGCUCCUUCACCUGUCUUCCUUCACAGAUGGCAGUGGCCUAACUAAAUCAGCUCUAACAACCAACUCUGAAGUACUCUUCACUUCCCCAAGCCCCAGAGGCUGUUUAUUGUUGUUUAAAACAAUGAUGGCCCGCCUAAUGAGCUUUUGUUAUUGAUACAUGCAUUU
rnacentral:lncRNA from 1 species